GGUGGCACAACCCAAAGAGUGCAGGGAAACCGUGGAGUCAUUGGCAAGGUUGCAGCUGUCGCGGUUUGGAAGUUGGGAGAGAAAGAAGCGUCUGGCCUCCGCAAACAGCAAGUACUGCCCCCAGUGGGCUGGGCACGGAAUCCUCUCACCCGCCCACAAAAUGACGUAUGCGUUCAGAACAGCCCGUGAUUAUGUACAUACAGAUGUAGCGAGAACAUUUAGUUUGCCACUGCCAAGUCUGACCUACGAUGGAAGAUGAACAAUGACCUCUCAGAGAUAACCCAGUGACACCAUGGGCUCAUCAAGGGGACUUUGCCAAGGAAAAGCUUCCCCUUAACCACCCAUUGGAAAGAAACCAGUCCGAUGUCACGCGGAUACACUGACCACUGGUUAAGCUGAGGGCUGGAAGACCUUGGUGAUGUUUGUUAUACGGCUAUUAAUACUCAAUUUAGUAUAGUCCUGUCAACUCUGCUAUUUAUAUUAGGAAAUAUAAAUGCUGAGUGAAGCUGGAAAGCUACUUGGUGACUUGGUGGUAUCUUUGAAGGUAUAUCAUCAUCAUCAUUCAAUACUUUCAUCUUGUGAUACAAAUAUUCAAUGCCAAUAUUUAAAGGAGCAAUGCCUAAGAUGGACCUCAAAGGUUUUUUUGGAAUCUGCUUUGAAGGGGAUCACUGGAAUGUGGGAAACCAUUUCUCCCUUGUGAGAGUGGGGUACGUGGAUUUAAUCUUAAGGCAGAAUGUCCUUUUGCUCCA